UACAGAGGGUGCGAGCGUUAAUCGGAAUUACUGGGCGUAAAGCGUGCGUAGACGGUUAUUUAAGUCGGGUGUGAAAGCCCCGGGCUCAACCUGGGAAUUGCAUUCGAGACUGAAUAGCUAGGGUACGGUAGAGGGAAGCGGAAUUUCCGGUGUAGCGGUGAAAUGCGUAGAUAUCGGAAGGAACAUCAGUGGCGAAGGCGGGUCUCUGGGCCGAUACUGACGCUGAGGAGCGAAAGCGUGGGGAGCGAACAGG
rnacentral:rRNA from 1 species